CUGCAAGAACAACAGGAGAAACAAGCUUUCGAAGAACUCUAGGCUUGUUAUCUAGUGAAGC
rnacentral:sRNA from 1 species